rnacentral:rRNA from 1 species
CCUACGGGGGGCUGCAGUGGGGAAUAUUGGACAAUGGGGGCAACCCUGAUCCAGCCAUGCCGCGUGUGUGAAGAAGGCCCUCGGGUUGUAAAGCACUUUCAGUGAGGAAGAACGCCUGGUGGUUAAUACCCAUCAGGAAAGACAUCACUCACAGAAGAAGCACCGGCUAACUCCGUGCCAGCAGCCGCGGUAAUACGGAGGGUGCGAGCGUUAAUCGGAAUUACUGGGCGUAAAGCGCGCGUAGGUGGCUUGAUAAGCCGGUUGUGAAAGCCCCGGGCUCAACCUGGGAACGGCAUCCGGAACUGUCAAGCUAGAGUGCAGGAGAGGAAGGUAGAAUUCCCGGUGUAGCGGUGAAAUGCGUAGAGAUCGGGAGGAAUACCAGUGGCGAAGGCGGCCUUCUGGACUGACACUGACACUGAGGUGCGAAAGCGUGGGUAGCAAACAGGAUUAGAGACCCUAGUAGUC